UUAACUGAAUACGAUAGUAAACAUGCACUUUGAACUUUGUAAUCUUAUUGGACUUUCAUAUUUUCCUCAAAAAUUCCUACGUUGGAAAACCGUCAUCUCAGGUUUUAAAUAGAAAAAACAGUGCAAUAGUAAAAUGUUCUUGAACGUAAAGUGUGAGCGUUAAAUAGUGCUUCUGGACAAGAUGGUGGAAAUACGGCUACACAUAAUUAAGAACGAUGAAAAGGACACACAUUAGAGAAAUAUUAUGAUUUUUGGAAGAUGUGGCGAUUAGCAAUAGUAGAAAAGUACUGUUUUCAAAGCAUUAAAUGGAAUUAAAGAAAUGCAUUGGGCCCUGGUUUAACAACAGGCAAUUAGAUUGGUUA